GACGAACGCUGGCGGCGUGCCUAAUACAUGCAAGUUGAGCGCUGAAGGUUGGUACUUGUACCAACUGGAUGAGCAGCGAACGGGUGAGUAACGCGUGGGGAAUCUGCCUUUUAGCGGGGGACAACAUUUGGAAACGAAUGCUAAUACCGCAUAAAAACUUUAAACACAAGUUUUAAGUUUGAAAGAUGCAAUUGCAUCACUCAAAGAUGAUCCCUCGUUGUAUUAGCUAGUUGGUGAGGUAAAGGCCCACCAAGGCGAUGAUACAUAGCCGACCGGAGCGGGUGAUCGGCGACAUGGGGACUGAGACACGGCCAAAACUACUACGGGACGGCGCAGUAGGGAACCUUCGGCAGUAGAGGAAAGUCUGACAGAGCAACGCCGCGUGAGUGAAGAAGGUUUUCGGAUCGUAAAGCUCUGUUGGUAGAGGAGAACGUCGGUGGGAGUGGACAGCGCAUCAAGUGACGGUAACUACACAGAAAGGGACGGCUAACUACGUG
rnacentral:rRNA from 1 species